rnacentral:rRNA from 1 species
GUUGAACGCUGGCGGCAUGCUUUACACAUGCAAGUCGAACGGUAACAGGGUGCUUGCACCGCUGACGAGUGGCGAACGGGUGAGUAAUGCGUCGGAACGCACCGAGUAAUGGGGGAUAACGCAGCGAAAGCUGUGCUAAUACCGCAUACGCUCUGAGGAGGAAAGCGGGGGACCUUCGGGCCUCGCGUUAUUCGAGCGGCCGACGUCUGAUUAGCUAGUAGGUGAGGUAAGAGCUCACCUAGGCGACGAUCAGUAGCGGGUCUGAGAGGAUGAUCCGCCACACUGGGACUGAGACACGGCCCAGACUCCUACGGGAGGCAGCAGUGGGGAAUUUUGGACAAUGGGCGCAAGCCUGAUUCAGCCAUGCCGCGUGUCUGAAGAAGGCCUUCGGGUUGUAAAGGACUUUUGUCAGGGAGGAAAUCCUUAGCGCUAAUACCGUUGAGGGAUGACAGUACCUGAAGAAUAAGCACCGGCUAACUACGUGCCAGCCGCCGCAGUAA